CCCCUUUCACAGCCACCUACCUCACGAGUCCACAAUGGGGCCUCCAACAAGGGACUGAGAACAAGGGUCAUAGCUUUCCUUCUGGGCCGAUAGUCUCAGCUCAGUGCAUUUGCCACCCCCUAACCUGUUCCCAGCUUAUCUUAGGAUGAUCAGAAUCUCUCCUGCCAGGCUUUCUGCACAAGGUCACCUACAUGUUCCAGUGGUUGCUCCUAGCCUUGUGUACCCCCUGCCCAGGAAUGGAAAAAAAAAUAUUUUAAAGAGCCAGUCUUACCUGUUUUCCAUCUUCCACCACUGAGGACAGAACAGGAAAAUCAAAGAAUCACCCAUCAGAGCUGUGAUAGUCAAGGACCACCCCAUACCUGAGCAAGAACUCCCUUUAUGACAUAUUUGACAAGUGAGCUUUCAGGCUCCAGUGAAGUCUCCCCCUCUGGGCCAGCACAUUCCACUUGGUGAUAAGUUGUCAUUGUUAGAAUGAUGCUCCCUUACACGGAGUCUAAAUUUGUCUCUCUGUCACUUGUCAGUCAGUUGACAAGCAUUUAUAAAGCAAUUACUAGGACCUGUGCUAAGUGCCAGGAAUACAAAGAAAGACAGAAACAUGGGCCUUCACCUGGAGGAGUUUAUGCUAUGAUGGGAGAGAUCUACAACAGGGAAAGAAGGGUGAAAUGUAGGCUUGUCUGGAUCCAGCUUUCAAGCUUUUCCCAACAAAUCAACUUUUACACGAGUGCAAUCCAAUUGGUAUUUAUUACGACAACCAUCCUAGCCCUAUUGCCUCUCUAGGUCAUUCACAAGAAAUGCUGCCACAUUUCAAAGUUGCCUAGCUUCCUCAAGUCCCACAGUUGGCAUGAAGAGAGCUCACUUCUGCUUCCAGAAUGUCCCCCACAUCAGCUCUUUCCUGGAAGCUACCACACUAAUCACAAGAGUUCUGGUAUUUGUCUUGGACUUCAAGUAUGUGAAGGCCUUUCCCAUAGAGGAGUAAUUCUGUGUGUUCUAUUUAACAAUGAGUAGAAAAGGCAAAGAGGCAAAUUAAGGCUUGAGUCGAGGAAAAACGUCCUAAUCAGAGUCAGUCUAAAACGGAAUGGUCUGCUUUAAGAGGCACCUGUCAGGUAUGUUGUAAUGGUGAUUCUUUUCUCAGCUAUGGGUCAGACUAAAUGACCUCUGAGAUUCUUUCCA
rnacentral:lncRNA from 1 species